rnacentral:misc_RNA from 1 species
GAUGAAGAACGCAGUGAAAUGCGAUAAGUAAUGCGAAUUGCAGAUUUCAGUGAGUCAUCGAAUCUUUGAACGCACAUUGCGCCCGCCAGUAUUCAGGCGGGCAUGCCUGUUCGAGCGUCAUUUCAACCAUCAAGCCCCCGGGCUUGCGUUGGGGCCCUGCGGCUGCCGCAGGCCCCGAAAAGCAGUGGCGGGCUCGCUGUCACACCGAGCGCAGUAGCGAUUCUCGCUCCGGGCGUCGGCGGCGGGCACCGGCCGUGAAACCCCCCCACAUCCACAAGGUUGACCUCGGAUCAGGUAGGAAUACCCGCUGAACUUAAGCAUAUCAAUAAGCGGAGGA